GUUGGCCAAACAGUUCAUUCGGGUUUUUCCAUAACAUCUUAUAGAAAAACCCGAACAAACUGUUUUGCCAAC
rnacentral:miRNA from 1 species